rnacentral:lncRNA from 1 species
GCUAACUCUUAAGUGAGAGGAAAAGCAAAGGUAAUAAAGAGUGCAUUAUUUGAUUUUCCAUUGCAGAAGUCAGUCUGUGCAAAAUUCUGCUUGCAAAGAGAUCAUCCUUCCUACUUAACUUGUAGGAGAUCAUUUAGAAGGUUUGCUGGACUUGGCCGCAUGGAUCCUUCAGCUCCCAAGUACUUUCAGAGAACAGUCUCACCCAAGAAGAGUUUCCACUCCACCCGAAAAGCCUCUCGCCCAGCCUCUCCCCUGGCCUCGGGUUACCAUGCCAUGGCCCUAGAGGGCUCAGGUUCUCUCACUGGACUCUCUUCGUGUUGACACUUCUUCCACUUUACCAAGUAGCCAGAAUUCCCACUCAGGAAGAAUGCUUUGGCACUGGAAGAAAGGGGGACAAUGGAUCUAUUGUUCUUUUGGCCUUCUUGAAUAGGGCAAAUGUCUCCUCCUUCUAGCCUUAUCACCAACGAAGGCUGAAUAUGGAGCCCUAGGAGACUCAUCCUCCUCCUACCCGUGCUUUGUUCUUUGGAAGAGGGUUUUUGUGUACCUUCCCCACCCUGGCCCCAUCAAACCUGUUUUGGGACUCGAAUAGACAGUUGCCU